GACAGAGGGUGCAAACGUUGUUCGGAAUUACUGGGCGUAAAGCGUGUGUAGGCGGUCUCAUAAGUCGGAUGUGAAAGCCCCGGGCUCAACCCGGGAAGUGCAUUCGAAACUGCGAGGCUAGAGUAUCGGAGAGGUUGGUGGAAUUCUCGGUGUAGGGGUGAAAUUCGUAGAUAUCGAGAGGAACACCGGUGGCGAAGGCGGCCAACUGGACGAAUACUGACGCUGAGACACGAAAGCGUGGGGAGCAAACAGG
rnacentral:rRNA from 1 species